AUCAAGGGCUAGAAGCGCGGCGGCGGUAGCAGCCAGGCUUGGCCCCCGGCGUGGAGCAGACGCGGACCCCUCCUUCCUAGCGGCGGCGGCGCGGGCUCAGAGCCCGGCAACGGGCGGGCGGGCAGAAUGAGUCUGCAGGUCUUAAACGACAAAAAUGUCAGCAAUGAAAAAAAUACAGAAAAUUGCGACUUCCUGUUUUCGCCACCAGAAGUUACCGGAAGAUCGUCUGUUCUUCAUGUGUCACAGAAAGAAAAUGUGCCACCCAAGAACCUGGCCAAAGCUAUGAAGGUGACUUUUCAGACACCUCUGCGGGAUCCACAGACGCACAGGAUUCUAAGUCCUAGCAUGGCCAGCAAACUUGAGGCUCCUUUCACUCAGGAUGACACCCUUGGACUGGAAAACUCACACCCGGUCUGGACACAGAAAGAGAACCAACAGCUCAUCAAGGAAGUGGAUGCCAAAACUACUCAUGGAAUUCUACAGAAACCAGUGGAGGCUGACACCGACCUCCUGGGGGAUGCAAGCCCAGCCUUUGGGAGUGGCAGCUCCAGCGAGUCUGGCCCCGGUGCCCUGGCUGACCUGGACUGCUCAAGCUCUUCCCAGAGCCCAGGAAGUUCUGAGAACCAAAUGGUGUCUCCAGGAAAAGUGUCUGGCAGCCCUGAGCAAGCCGUGGAGGAAAACCUUAGUUCCUAUUCCUUAGACAGAAGAGUGACACCCACCUCUGAGACCCUAGAAGACCCUUGCAGGACAGAGUCCCAGCACAAAGCGGAGACUCCGCACGGAGCCGAGGAAGAAUGCAAAGCGGAGACUCCGCACGGAGCCGAGGAAGAAUGCCGGCACGGUGGGGUCUGUGCUCCCACAGCAGUGGCCACUUCGCCUCCUGGUGCAAUUCCUAAGGAAGCCUGCGGAGGAGCACCCCUGCAGGGUCUGCCUGGCGAAGCCCUGGCCUGCCCUGCGGGUGUGGGCACCCCCGUGCCAGCAGAUGGCACUCAGACCCUUACCUGUGCACACACCUCUGCUCCUGAGAGCACAGCCCCAACCAACCACCUGGUGGCUGGCAGGGCCAUGACCCUGAGUCCUCAGGAAGAAGUGGCCGCAGGCCAAAUGGCCAGCUCCUCGAGGAGCGGACCCGUAAAACUAGAAUUUGAUGUAUCUGAUGGCGCCACCAGCAAAAGGGCACCCCCACCAAGGAGACUGGGAGAGAGGUCCGGCCUCAAGCCUCCCUUGAGGAAAGCAGCAGCGAGGCAGCAAAAGGCCCCGCAGGAGGUGGAGGAGGAUGACAGUAGGAGCGGAGCGGGAGAGGACCCCCCCAUGCCGGCUUCUCGGGGCUCUUACCACCUCGACUGGGACAAAAUGGAUGACCCAAACUUCAGCCCGUUCGGAGGUGACACCAAGUCUGGUUGCAGUGAGGCCCAGCCCCCAGAAAGCCCUGAGACCAGGCUGGGCCAGCCAGCGGCUGAACAGCUGAGUGCUGGGCCUGCCACGGAGGAGCCAGGUCCCUGUCUGAGCCAGCAGCUGCAUUCAGCCUCAGCGGAGGACACGCCUGUGGUGCAGUUGGCAGCCGAGACCCCAACAGCAGAGAGCAAGGAGAGAGCCUUGAACUCUGCCAGCACCUCGCUUCCCACAAGCUGUCCAGUCAGUGAGCCAGUGCCCACCCAUCAGCAGGGGCAGCCUGCCUUGGAGCUGAAAGAGGAGAGCUUCAGAGACCCCGCUGAGGUUCUAGGCACGGGCGCGGAGGUGGAUUACCUGGAGCAGUUUGGAACUUCCUCGUUUAAGGAGUCAGCCUUGAGGAAGCAGUCCUUAUACCUCAAGUUCGACCCCCUCCUGAGGGACAGUCCUCGUAGACCAGUGCCCGUGGCCACCGAGACCAGCAGCAUGCACGGUGCAAAUGAGACUCCCUCAGGACGUCCGCGGGAAGCCAAGCUUGUGGAGUUCGAUUUCUUGGGAGCACUGGACAUUCCUGUGCCAGGCCCACCCCCAGGUGUCCCCGCACCUGGGGGCCCACCCCUGUCCACCGGACCUAUAGUGGACCUGCUCCAGUACAGCCAGAAGGACCUGGAUGCAGUGGUAAGGAUGCAGGUAGUAGCUAUUCCACAGAACCUGCAGGCCGCUCUGGGGCUUGGCCAACAGUGGGCACGGGUGGGGUCCAACAGCCUGACCCGCCGUCCCUGCCAUCCCUGCCCCUGCUGGUUGGGGUGGAAUUGCAGAGAGCUGCCGGCCCCUGGCCUGUCACUGCUGCCCAGGUCGCUGAGGGUCCAGGCUUCCACCCAGUGUCCCCGCAGUCAGCUGCCCACCAGCAGCCUCCCCGGGACUCUCCGGCCUGGGCAUGGCAUUGGCCUCUGGUGGCCUUGCAGCAGUGAGUGUGGUUCUUGCUGCCGUGAGCCCGAGUGUCGCCCCUUUCCUCCCGCCCUCCCACAAGUCCAGAUGCAUCUCCUGGCAGCUUAGGAAGCUCCAUCUUCACCCGCCCCACAUCUGAGGGUCCCCUGCCUUGUCUCCCUCCAUCCUCACUGUACAUGCCAGGCUUCAGCCUGUUCUAACUCCGGGCCUAAAUUGUCCCUAAGAGAGCUGUAGGCACACAAAGGGGCUGGGUGUCUGCAGGCACCACUGUGAGCUACCGUCGCCAGAUGGUCCCCAGGGAGGUGCAGACAGGGUGGUUCCGGAGGCUGGCUGGCAGGGCUGGGUUCAAGCCCCAACAUCCACACCAGUGUUGCUCACAGUGG
rnacentral:sRNA from 1 species